rnacentral:misc_RNA from 1 species
AAGUCGUAACAAGGUUUCCGUAGGUGAGGAUCAUUAACACGUAUCCAACGUUAAAACAACCCCGUGAACUUUCAGCUUGCUCCUGUAGCCCGUGAAAGCAGCAAUCCCUGGUAAAUCAUUGUUGACCAGCUUUUGAGUCAGAUUGUGAUAUUGUAGAGCUACGGUGCGAUUGCAUCCAGUGACCUGGCAUCCCCAAGUAAUCAGUGUUCUGAAAGUGUCAUUGAUUGUGUAAGGAUGGCGCAUCACGAUCGCUGUAGGCCCACACGGCCGGCGACCGGGUCACCGGGCUCUGCUCCUUUACGACAACUACAGUCAAACUUCGCACGGCACCAAAAACCGAACAACUGUUAACAAUAUAUCUUGGUUCUC